UCUGGCUGAACGACUGAACGGCGCGCUCAUGCGGUGUCCAGCUGUAACACUCCGGUUCAGACUUCCAGCUUCAACCUGAUGACACAUCCCUGUCACGUGACAGACAGAUCACGUUCAGCUGCUGUGUGAACGUAAAUCAUGCUGAAUCUCACGCGCGUGCUGCUGAUGAUUUUACUAAGAUCAGCCGCUUGCCAAGUCGUAGUGUGAAGCAGCCGGGAGAAGAAUAACGCCGGUCAGACGCAGACAGGUAGUCUGACCAGAGGAGGAUGGGUCCCCCGAGCCUUGGUUUCUCCCAAGGUUUGUUCUUCCAGCUCAGGGUGAGUGUUUCCUUCAAUUGUUGCUCACUGGGGAUUUAAUGGUCUGUCUUGCUGUCUGGCAAAAAAAAAAAAAAAUACACAUCAGAUCUGGUGAUAAAAUCAGAUUGGGGCACUUUUACCUGCUGUGUGAAUGUAGCGUUAGAUAUACAGUCAUGUCUGAAUGGAGGUUUAGUGAUUGCUAAUGACAACACAGUUAGACUCAUGACAAGCUAUGAACAUCAGAGUGCAGGGUUCCCUUUUGAUUCAGAUCCUGAAAUCACUACACUGAGAUAAUGUGGACAGCAAAGCUUUAAGUCAUUAUUCAGGACCCAAGGCAACACAGUGACCCCAGUGCUCUGCAGUGAUGCUAAGAAAGAGAAAGAACCAAGACUCAACAAAUACAAUUACAUAAUGCUGAAAUACGAUCUGUGAGAUUAGGAAAAUGUAUUUUUGCCAGCUGCUUCCCUUCAGAAAACAACGUAGCUGGUGUUUAUUUCAUACCUAUGCUUGGUAAACCUCAGCGGGUCUCGCUUUAGGAGCCAAGCGAAAAACAACAAAAAAAAGAAGAAAUUGUGGAAAAUGAGGUAAUGUGCUGCUUACAAUUUCAUGGUUUAUUUAUGUUGUGGUCCUCCUCUUCAGCCGAUUUGAAGAAUUCAGAGCUGAAAUCUUUCUUUUUCAUGCUGUAUUGUUUUCAUUAUACAGUGGAAGGAUGCAAGUCAACCUUAUCUGGGAAGGGCUGCCCACGCUCAGCGGUGCCUCCUCACACAGCAGACAGGAUGAACAGACGAAUAGAAAUGCUUCAAAAAUCUUCACAAUCUUUUUACACUGACUUCAACGUUUUUUUUUUUUUUAUGUAA
rnacentral:lncRNA from 1 species